AGUUAUAUAGCCCUAAAGGCAUUUAUAGGGCAAAUGUAUUUUUAUAUAUUUUAUUUUGAGGGGAAAUUACUCCCAAAUGUUGAAUCAUGAUAGAAUAUGAUUUUACAAAUUUUCUGGAAUUUAUUUGGACCAAUUUGGAGUUCAAAAUCAAAAGAUAUCAAAGAAAUGAGAAAAAGGGAAAAAAAGGCUAAAAGGGAAAAAAGGGAGAAAACCGGCCCGGCCCGGCCAAAUGGGCCGAACCGGCCCAGUUCCGCGCGCCCGAACCGGACCG
rnacentral:lncRNA from 1 species